GAUGAACGCUAGCGGCAGGCUUAAUACAUGCAAGUCGAGGGACAGCACAGGUAGCAAUACUGGGUGGUAACCGGCAAACGGGUGCGGAACACGUACACAACCUUCCUUUAAGUGGGGGAUAGCCCAGAGAAAUUUGGAUUAAUACCCCGUAAUAUAGUUGAAUGGCAUCAUUUGAUUAUUAUAGCUACGGCGCUUAAUGAUGGGUGUGCGGCUGAUUAGAUAGUUGGCGGGGUAACGGCCCACCAAGUCUACGAUCAGUAGCUGAUGUGAGAGCAUGAUCAGCCACACGGGCACUGAGACACGGGCCCGACUCCUACGGGAGGCAGCAGUAAGGACUAUUGGUCAAUGGACGCAAGUCUGAACCAGCCAUGCCGCGUGAAGGAUUAAGGUCCUCUGGAUUGUAAACUUCCUUUAUUUGGGACGAAAAAGGGCCUUUCUAGGUCAACUGACGGUACCAGAUGAAUAAGCACCGGCUAACUCCGUGCCAGCCGCCGCAGUAAAAC
rnacentral:rRNA from 1 species